GAUGGAACAAUGAGGGUUGUGAUGAUAGUGAAUAGCAAAGAGUGAAUUCUGUGUGUUUUUGCUGUAGCACUGAAGUGAAGAGAUAUUAGCUUUGGCUGUUCACAAAAUAGAGCAUCAUGAUUUUCAGUGUUUGAGAGAAAAUUGAUGGAAAAAGUUUGCAGUACUUGACAUGUAUUUGCAUGCACAAAAUAAAAUUAUUUGUCCACCUUAAAAGUUGUUUUCUUAGUGUCAAUGUUAAGUUUAUGGUAUGUUUUAGUUGUCCUGAUUUUCUUGAUAUAUCUUAAUAAAACUAGAAAGACACUACUAAACUAGGGACUUAAUUGAUCACCUACUUCAUUGGUAUAUCAUUGGGAAGUAAAUAGACCCAAAGAAGUUGAAAUACUUCUUAAUUCUGUCUGGCAUUUCAUUCAAUAGAGAGCGCUUUCUAAAUGGGGGAAUGGUGUAAAAUAGAUAAUACUGAACUUACAGUCUUUGGGACAGAUAAAGAGAGAUGCAUAAAUAAAACAAAGUCAUUCUGUAGGCUUCAGAAAAAAUUUUAAAGAUGGCCUAAAUCUCAGCACCAUUUUUAAUGACCCCAGAGUACCUUUAUUUAUUCACCCAGCUGAUGUGUCCUAAGCCCCCAUCUCUCCUGGUCUUUUAAGACUAGGUUAAUGAAAUGAGCCCUUUCCCUGGAUGCUCAUAGUGUAGAAAUGGGAAAGACCAGAUUGAAUAGCUCUGAGAGCUACAUACAAAGGGGCCAGUUGUUAUGUUGAGCAAGAGGAGGUACUUCUGUGAGAGACCCUCUGGCUAGACUUUAAAUCUUGCAUAACCUUUUUACCAGUAGCAGAUUACCUUCCUGACCCACUUGAUCUUUACACCUGUUUUGUAUUUUCAUUGUUUUAUAUUUGAGAUGUUAUAUAAUUUGCCAAAAUCUUACAAUCAGAAAGUAAUAGAGUCAGAGUUCUGCUGUCUUUCUGUCUCUCAAAAAGGUAAUGGUGAUGGUAGUUGGAUCCAUUUUCACUUAAGUAGAAAGUGUGAUUAAGAGAUAGGGCUUCACUGACUAAUAAACAGCCAAUUCUCAGAAUUCUAAGUGUUAUACUGUAGACUGUUGUCACCAUUUCCAGACAAGAAAAGGGAUACAGAUACUUUUGAGAAUUUUCCUAAGUUUACACUGCUAGAAGAGGUAGAUGGGCAUUGAAAGCCAUGGAAGUUAAAUAAUCUGAAUGAUUUAAGAUUUUAGAAAGGAUACUUUGGCAUUGAUGUAAAAUGUAGCUAGAGAUAGGCCAGCAAGGUGGCCAGGUCAACACUGUAGGUAAAAAGUGUUGACUACAUGACCAAGCAGGGGUAGAGGAAGAGAUGAGCUUCAAGACUGGGGAUAGGGGAGAACAACCGACAAAUUUCCUAUGC
rnacentral:lncRNA from 1 species